rnacentral:SRP_RNA from 1 species
GCUGGGCAUGGUGGCAUGUGCCUGUAGUCCCAACUACUUGGGUGGCUGAGGCAGGAGGAUUACUUGAGCCCAGGAGGUCAAGGCUGCAGUGAGCCAUGAUCGAGCCACUGCACUCCAGCCUGGGUGACAGAGUAAGAUCCUGUCUCAA